rnacentral:rRNA from 1 species
UACGAAGGGUGCAAGCGUUACUCGGAAUUACUGGGCGUAAAGCGUGCGUAGGUGGUUCGUUAAGUCUGAUGUGAAAGCCCUGGGCUCAACCUGGGAAUGGCAUUGGAAACUGGCGACCUAGAGUGCGGUAGAGGGUAGUGGAAUUCCCGGUGUAGCAGUGAAAUGCGUAGAGAUCGGGAGGAACAUCCGUGGCGAAGGCGACUACCUGGACCAGCACUGACACUGAGGCACGAAAGCUUGGGGAGCAAACAGG